rnacentral:rRNA from 1 species
UACGGGGGGUGCGAGCGUUGUCCGGAAUCACUGGGCGUAAAGGGCGCGUAGGUGGUUUGAUAAGGGUGUGGUGAAAGUCCGGGGCUCAACCCCGGAUCUGCCGUGCCGACUGUCAAACUCGAGGACUGUAGAGGCAGACGGAAUUCCGGGUGUAGCGGUGGAAAUGCGUAGAUAUCGGAGGAACACCGGUGGCGAAGGCGGC